rnacentral:tRNA from 4 species
GUACCCAUAGUUCAGUUGGUUAGAGCGUCAGAUUGUGGUUCUGAAUGUCGUCGGUUCGAAUCCGACUGGGUACC